AUUAAUUGUUUGUGUGUGAUGUGUUGAGACUUGUUGGUGAUGGGCAUUGGUACGGGUACCAGUGUUAUAAAGGGAAAGUUUAUUACUAUAGAAUGUGGAUUGUAAUCCGAGAAUGCCAAAGCAUAUGGGUAUUAGCUGAUAUAUUAUUGACUUGAUUUAUUAUGUGUGAUUGUGUUCUUUAUUGAACCCGUAUACUGGUGAUAGCUGAGGUGAUUACAUAUCAUAUUGAUAUUUGAUUGAGAUGCAUCAUCCCUUUUAUUGAAAUCAUAUUUUGCACAUGCAUUGACAUGAGAUUGAGUAUAAGUUGGGCACGUGGAG
rnacentral:lncRNA from 1 species